GCCCUUAGAGUUUGAUCAUGGCUCAGAACGAACGCUGGCGGCAGGCUUAACACAUGCAAGUCGUACGAAGCCUUCGGGCUUAGUGGCGGACGGGUGAGUAACGCGUGGGAACGUGCCCCUUGGUACGGAAUAGUCCCUGGAAACGGGGUUUAAUACCGUAUGACCUCUGAGGAAGAAAGAUUUAUCGCCGAGGGAUCGGCCCGCGUUGGAUUAGGUAGUUGGUGGGGUAAUGGCCUACCAAGCCGACGAUCCAUAGCUGGUUUGAGAGGAUGAUCAGCCACACUGGGACUGAGACACGGCCCAGACUCCUACGGGAGGCAGCAGUGGGGAAUCUUAGACAAUGGGGGAAACCCUGAUCUAGCCAUGCCGCGUGAUCGAUGAAGGCCUUAGGGUUGUAAAGAUCUUUCGCUGGGGAAGAUAAUGACGGUACCCAGUAAAGAAGCCCCGGCUAACUCCGUGCCAGCAGCCGCGGUAAUACGGAGGGGGCUAGCGUUGUUCGGAAUUACUGGGCGUAAAGCGCGCGUAGCGGGCUGGAAAGUUGGGGGGUGAAAUCCCGGGGCUCAACCCCGGAACUGCCUUCAAACUGUCAGUCUGGAUUCAAAAAAGUUGAAUUGGAAUU
rnacentral:rRNA from 1 species